rnacentral:lncRNA from 1 species
CAACCUCAAGCCGAAACUUUCACACUGUUAGAUCAAAUGUAAGAAAAAAGUAGUAUUGAUUGAUAAGGGUAAAAAAACCCUUGGCCAAAAUUUUCAAUUAUAACAUCCAUGAGGAAAUCAUAAAGGAGUAAAUCAAGAACACUAGCAAUAAAACUCCGUAGAUGAUAUGAAAAUAUUUAACAAUCCAAGAAGAAUGUACAAAAGUAAAC